UUCAGGUCCGACACAGGAAGGGCUUCAUCAAACUGGCGCUCAAACACGGAGCUCACCUGGUUCCCGUAUUUUCUUUCGGAGAGAACGAGCUGUUUGAUCAGAUGGAGAAUCCCAGCGGCUCUCCGCUCAGGAGGCUGCAGAACCGGCUGCAGAGCAUCAUGGGAGUGGCCAUGCCCCUGUUUCACGCCAGAGGAGUUUUCCAGUACAGCUUCGGACUGAUGCCCUACAGGAAGCCCAUCCACA